AAACGUAAGAGUUUGAUCCUGGCUCAGAAUGAACGCUAGCCAUAGGCCUAACACAUGCAAGUCGAACGCUUCUGACAAGAAGAGUGGCAAACGGGUGAGUAACACGUAGGAAUCUACCCAACAGCUCGGGGAAAUAGUAUUAUCUAUGAAUCCCGAAUAAAAAAACUAAGUGUUGUUAUUGGAUGAGCCUGCGGAGGAUUAGGUAGUUGGUGAGGUAAAAGCUCACCAAGCCGAUGAUCCUUAGCUGGUCUGAGAGGACGAUCAGCCACACUGGGACUGAGAAGGGCCCAGACUUCUACGGAAGGCAGCAGUGGGGAAUCUUGGACAAUGGGCGAAAGCCUGAUCCAGCUAUAUGGCGUGAGUGAUGAAGGCAAUUUCUGUUGUAAAGCUCUUUCAUUGAGAACGAAUUAUGAUGUAACUCAAAGAAGAAGCCCCGGCUAACUCCGUGCCAGCAGCCGCGGUAAUACGGGGGGGGCUAGUGUGGUUCAGCAUGACUGGGCGUAAAGGGCACGUAGGCUGUUAAUUACGUUGGAAGCCAAAGCCUCAGGAAACCCCUGAGAACGUCUUUCAAAACGGAUUAACUCGAGAUAUAAAGAGGAAAGCGGAAUUUCAAAUGGAGAGGUUGAAUUCGUAGAUAUUUGAAGGAAGGCCAAAGGCGAAGGCAGCUUUCUGGUUAUAAUCUGACGCUGAGGUGCGAAAGCAUGGGGAGCAACCAGGAUUAGAUACCCUGUUAGUCCAUGCCCUAAACGAUGAGUGUUCGUGACUUGAUUUUUUAUUGGGUCACCAAGCUAACGCGUGAAACACUCCGCCUGGGGAGUACGGUCGCAAGGCUAAAACUCAAAGGAAUUGACGGGGGCCCAUACAAGCGGUGGAGCAUGUGGUUUAAUUCGAAACAACGCGCAAAACCUUACCAGCUCUUGGUAUUUUUUUAAGUUUCUUGUAAUGAUAGAAACGAUCUUUUGGAAAAAACAGGCGUUGCAUGGCUGUCGUCAGCUCGUGUCGUGAGAUGUUUGGUUCAGUCCUAUAACGAGCGAAACCCUUCGACAAUGUUGCUAUGAAUCUUAGAGAAUUCAGCACUCUUUGUUGACUGCCCGUGAUAGACGGGAGGAAGGCGAGGAUGACGUCAAGUCCGCAUGACCCUAAUGAGCUGGGCUACACACGUGCUACAAUGGCGAAGACAAAAGGAAGCAAUGACGUAAGUCGGAGCAAAUCCACAAAAAUCGUCGUAGUUCGGAUUGUUCUCUGCAACUCGAGAACAUGAAGCUGGAAUCGCUAGUAAUCGUGGAUCAGCAUGCCACGGUGAAUUGGUACCUGGGCCUUGUACAUACCGCCCGUCACACCCUGGGAAUUUUUUUGGCCCGAAGGUAACUACACAAAUUUUUUCAUGAUAGAUUCACUUGUGGAUUUAUGGUGCGAAUUUUUAUUAUGUUUCCCACGGUCGAGGAAGUGACUGAGGUGAAGUCGUAACAAGGUAGUCGUAGGGGAACCUGCGGCUGGAAUAUAUCCUUU
rnacentral:rRNA from 14 species